UUUUAUUUUUAUUUUUUUUUCAAUUUCCAGAUCAAAAAUAGCUACUGAAAUGUCAGAACUUCUGCUGGGACACAAAUUGUGAUUACUGAGGGCUAUUUGUAGAGAAAGUUGAACUGUCAAUGGGAAGGAGAAUCCGUACUGGUAUCAGCAGUGACUCAAUGAAUGAAGAGCCUAUUGCUGCAAAGUAAUCUGUCUGCAAAAAAACUACUGAUUCUGCCAGAGGAGAACGCUCAGUGGGAAGCUGAGGUCACAUCAAUACAUCUUUCUAUCACUUUAGAAAUUUUAUUAUGAAGACUAAAGCAUUCACAAAGGGGGGUAGCUAACAUAGAAAUACUGCUCUGCACCUCAUCUUCAUCUCUGUGGUUUUCAAGACUCAAAAACACAAGGCUACAGCUGACCCAACCUAGUGAUGGCUCAAGGCAUGGUGAGUGGCAUGCAGUAGACGACCAUGGUCAUCAUUUCAACCAGCGUUUCUGUAAGUUACCAUAACUUUAAUAUGCUUGGUGUUUUAUUUGUACUAAAAAUCAUGGAUUUCUAGAUUCUAGAAUGUGCAGAACGGCAUUUUUUACAGCUACACAAUUAAAACAAAGAGGUGAUCCUUGUUGACCACAACUCUGGGUAUUCUGAGAUGACUUUGAAGCUAGAUUUAAUUAAGGCUUCGGAGCUCAUGUCCACAAACCAGCGCUUGCUGCAUUAGCAAGGUCUAAUUACUUCCCAGUGCCCCAGGCACUGGAUGACCCCUUCUCAGGCUGGGCAGCAGCAUGGCAGCUGUGGACUGGAGUGAUCCCUACCAGAGGGCUGAGCUGGGAGUUCUGGGUCACAGGAAAUUACUUUGUUUAAAGUAGAAGAUUAUUAUUAAAAAACUUACAACAACUUAUAAAAGCUCAGACUUAUAGCUGACUAUUGGUGUAAUUUACUUUUCAAGACUUGAGGCUGGCUACAUUUAUAUUGCUGGAUUUGGAAAAAAAAAAAAAAAAAGGUCAAGUUAAGAUAUGUGUUGACUGCGUAAUAUUAUUUUAGCAUUCCCCUUGAUCAUAUCUUCUGGAACUGUUUGCUCAGAGAGAAGCCGCAAUGCAUAUACAGGAGUAGAUCUGAGGUGAAUAUGCAAUUGCUGAAAUUCGUGAGACAGAAUUUUAAAUACUGGUACAGGUACAUUCUGGUGCCCUUACAGUAUCUGUUGUACUGUAUAUAAGGACAUGAGCUGCCAGAAUGACUGAAUAUUACAAGCUGGACUUUAAUAAUGGAUAGUAAUGCCUUGAAGAAACCAAAGAUGGUGACAUUUAGCAGCUGGGGAUAGUUUAUGUCAUCUGAUUCCAUCAUACCUUAACCAGCGAUUCUUAAAACAAAUCACGAUGAAUACCAGCAACUGAAGUUCACAAUACAUCAAUCACAAUGUAUUCAAAAGUCCAAGGAGUGAGAAAAAUAAUGCUGAGGCAAGCUUCAUUAAAUAUUGAAAAUUCAGCCAGUGCUUCGUGUAUAACAGGUACCAGAUCUUCUAUAUUCGUCUAUACACAGAAUUAUUUAACUUCUAUAUUUUAUAGAUGGGCCUCAAAUCCUCAUUUUGUGACUGACAUUUUCAUAUAAAGCUGGAAAUAAAAUUUCAAAUGAUAAAUAAUGACAGUUCAUUUUAACUUCUAUUUGCAGUUAAGUAAAAAAAACAUUCUUUCUAAUACACUUUUGGUAAAUCCUUGGUUUUGCUACCAUGAGAAAUCAAAAUAUUUGUAUCACUUUGAGAAAUGAGACAGCUACCGGGAUUAUUAAAGGUUUCCCUCCAGCCAAAUUUAUGAAUUAUCUCUGAAGUUACUGUUAUUUUCCACAAAAUUUAAAGCAGCGAGGAGAAAUGUGCACUUUUUAAGAUGCUCAAAAUCCAGUUUUAUACUUGUCUUAAUCACUGCAAAUAAGUUCAUCGCAUGUAUAAACCACCAUCUGCUCACCUAUUUUUCAAAUCUCUAAAUGUAAACUCAUUUUGAUAUUAUGUUCAGACAGAGCACCAUGUGUGUGAGAGAUUCACACAUAACUCCUCUAGGAUUCAAGACUUUUUGAGAUAAAUCAAAUACUGGAGAUGUACCCAUACAUCUCAGGUAUCUCAAGACACCGUUAUAUGUUCCACAGUGACAUCACAAAUAACAAAGAUCAUGAUGCCAUACAACAAAUUCUAGUGAUGUGGUAGUCACUGAAUUUCACAGAUUUGAAAAAUGUAAAAUGUGAGAAAAAUAUAUAUUAAUGAUUAUGGAUGCUCGUUAGCUGGAAUGGAAGUACUUUGGCAUAUAUUACUGAAUACUCUUACCUUAAAGGACAAAGCUAAAAAUAAAGAAGAUCAGCGUCUACACCUCGCUGCUGAAAGACACUGUUGACUUCACUUAGUACUGUUGUCCAGGGAGGUUGUGGAUGCCACAUCCCUGGAGGUAUUCAAGGCCAGGCUGGAUGUGGCUCUGGGCAGCCUGGUCUGGUGGUUGGUGACCCUGCACAUAGCAGGGGGUUGGAACUGGAUGAGCAUUGUGGUCCUUUUCAACCCAGGCCAUUCUAUGAUUCUAUGACUUCAAAGAUUUGUGACUAACUAUGAGGUUUAGAAAAAUGCACAGUAAAUGCCGCUGAAUUUGCAUAGCCAUACACUAUUUGCUUGUCAAGUCAGAUAGCCAUACUGCUAAAGUAGUUUUCCUGCUAAGCUAGAAAAUAUAUUAAAUCUAAACCUUUUAUCAAAAAGAAAAAUGAGAUGUAGAAGGCAAAAAAAGCAACAGGCUCAUAUCAUAAUGUUAAGGCAUGUCUAUUUGAUCGCCCUUUUUUCUGAUGAAUCUGAUGAAUUUGAUGGUUGUACUAGAUGAUCUUAGUGGUCUCUUCCAACCUUAAUUAUUCUAUGAUCACCAUUUUAGUUCAGAGUUCUUCCUCUAACAUCUUCAAAGAAGGCAUUUUGUCAGGUGACUUGAUCUGGACUUGAGCUGAACUGUUCUGUUCUGUGUUUCGAAGCAUUUUUCAGAACAUUUUUUCCAGAAGGAAAACUCUGCAGAGCUACCUGCAUUUUUUUUCAUUUAGUAAUGAGCAAUUAUAAUGUAUGCAUGUACAUCACACAUACCUAAGUAAGGAAAAAGCAAACCCCACUUAGUUUUCAUAAAAGGCUUUACUGACACAGGUAGCUUAUGCAACAUUUCACAGGGAAAUGGCUUAAUAAACAUAACAAAUUUGUAGAAAUCCAAAUUGUAAACAUUCUCAUAGUUUAAGCAACUCUCAUUCUCAUGAAAGCAACAGCAGCAGCAACAACAAAAAACAUGAAGAAGCAAAGCCCUGUCCAGAUUAUUUUCAACCCAGUAACAAAUUCAAAGCCAGAGAUUCUCUCUCACAGGAACCCCAUUAAUACCCUGCUGAAACAAAGCUGAAUUUAAUUCCAACUCUGUGGGUAAUGAUGCUGUCUACUUUCCUCUUUACUGUUACACUACAAAAAGUCAGGCAUUAGCUUUAAUACUAGCCACCUGCGAUCGCAACAGAUUGCCAAAACCCAAAGUAUUCUCUUCACUUUUUUUAUUAUCCUUUUUUAGGCUUAGUAUUCCUGGAGAUGUAAUUUCACAAAAUUUUGUUGCUUUGCUGAUAGACAAAACUCUACAUAUAUUUUUCUUCGCCCAAAGAAAAUCCCAGAUUAUUCCCCCCAAAAAAUCACUUUUAUCCUUGUCAGUCCCACACCAUUUAUUUGCUGAAGACAAAAGUUAUCAACAUUACGGUCAACAGGAGCAGUUAAUGAACUUAAAGCAGAUUACCCAGUUUCUAGUGAAUCUCACUUUCAAGAACAUACCAAAUGCAAUUCACUGGACUCACAUUUCAAGAAACAGUUUACUACCUUCACGUUUUCAGGAAGGCAGAAUGAUAGGAACAGUGAUGCCAACGAAAGCCUCCCAGUCCAACAUGAGAGAUUUCUCUAUGCCUCUUAAAAUCUAAAGAAUUCAGUAACCUUUGUCAGAGUAUAUGAUGUCUUUCUUCAACUUUUGUAGAGGGAGAUAAAGAUAUUUUUUUGUUCUAAAGAAACAGAUAACCACUGCCACUCAUUACAUUACCAGUUUCUCUUCUCUCCCCCUUCUCUGCCUGUACUAAAGCCAGGCUGUAAAAUACUGUCAACAAAACCGCAAUUGGUUUGACUUGGCUCUGAAACCAUUUCAGCACUUUGUGGUUGAAUAAAAAGCUAAAUUUCCAUCAUGGCUACCUCCACUACAAUUUUCAAUUGGACUACAGUUUGACUUCAAAUUGUGAGAAAGACCUGUUUGCAGGCAAGCAUGUAGAAUUCAUGCAAAGAAAAUUGAAACGAUAAUUGAACGAGAGUUUUUGAACAGAGGUUGUAUUUGUCCUAGUCAAUAGCCCUCCAUGUUCCCAAUUCUGUUUGUCCAAAAUAAGGAUUUGUCCUGAACAUUUAGGUUACAGUAAAUGCAAGCACUCACAUAGGCAUGUGCGCAAAGAAUACCUCACCAGGAAUUGUUUCUCUUUAACACAGACUAUAUAAUGUCAAAAAUUUGAUUCCAAAGAUGCUCCUCAUGAGAGCCCAGAUUGUUUGCAUAGGCUGCAUGAAACUACUUGCACUCAGCAGUAUGUGCUGCUCCCUCCAGCCUACCUGUAGAGCAACGAAGCAGCAAGGCACCUGAGGAGCUGCAACGUAAUUCCACCACCUGUCCAUUUUGCAGCAUUAGGACGCAGUGUACAGGGAUGUACAACCCCAACCUAUGCUCCCAUUGCAUGACCAAAAUGGAAAUAUGUGUGAAAUCUCUUUACUAAGCCUCCUGAAUUGCAAGUGCUAGUCCAGAAAAUGCUCUAUUUCUGUGAAUUUACAUUAGUAUUGUUGCAGUGCAGUUUAUGGUUGGCUUAUAAGGGAAAACUGCCUACACUGUCUCAGUGCAAUGUAACCAAUGGCAUACUGGACCAUGCUCAUACCUUUCUCUAAAAGUAUGAUUACAUAUAAGUAUGAGAUUAGUCCAUAUAAAUCAUAAUGGGUCCAGGCUUGAAGUAGACACCAUAGCAUAUCUGGUUCAGCUUCCUUAAUUCACAUCACUGAACUUGGUUUUACCUAUUUACUACGUUCUCUGAUUUUUUUGAAAACCUGUGUCUGAGUACAGCUGCUUAAUAGAGCUCUGCUCGUAUCCAUCAUGCC